rnacentral:tRNA from 1 species
ACUUUUUUAGUAUAAAAAAUUAUUCUUGACUUCCAAUCAAGAGAUCUCCCUGAGAAAAAGUA